GACGAACGCUGGCGGCGUGCCUAAUACAUGCAAGUCGAGCGAAGUUUUUCUGGUGCUUGCACUAGAAAAACUUAGCGGCGAACGGGUGAGUAACACGUAAAGAACCUGCCUCAUAGACUGGGACAACUAUUGGAAACGAUAGCUAAUACCGGAUAACAGUAUUUCUCGCAUGAGAGAUAUUUAAAAGUUGGUUAUGCUAACACUAUGAGAUAGCUUUGCGGUGCAUUAGCUAGUUGGUGGGGUAAAGGCCCACCAAGGCGACGAUGCAUAGCCGACCUGAGAGGGUGAUCGGCCACACUGGGACUGAGACACGGCCCAGACUCCUACGGGAGGCAGCAGUAGGGAAUCUUCCGCAAUGGGCGAAAGCCUGACGGAGCAACGCCGCGUGAGUGAAGAAGGAUUUCGGUUCGUAAAGCUCUGUUGUUAGGGAAGGAUGGAUAUGUAGUAACUAUACAUGUAAGAGACGGUACCUAACCAGAAAGCCACGGCUAACUACGUG
rnacentral:rRNA from 1 species